CACUAAGAAGCUUAAAUAGCAUCAGCCUUUUAAGUUGAAGAGGAAAAUACAAUUUCCUUAGUGG
rnacentral:tRNA from 1 species